CCCGCGGCCCCGCCGAUCGCCCGUCCCGGAUGGAGGUGGACGGGGCUUUGAGCGCGGCGGGGGAGUUCGGCCGCUGCCAGAAGCGCCUCACGGCCUUCCUGGUGCUGCUCCAGGUGUAUGUGGCCUGCCAGUCUGUGCUCAUUGUGUUGGUGGGUGCGGUGCCAGAGUAUCAUAUCAACCAGGAAGAGAGUCCUACUAACCAAGAAGAACUUGCCAAGCAUGUCCAAUUUGCAGAUAACUUUACAUCUAUAGUAACUGAGUGGUGCUUAAUCAAGCAUGAAGCGUAUAAAGUGAGCCUAGUGUCAUCCUUAUUCUUUGUUGGUUUGUUGAUUGGAAAUAUCACCUUUGGCCCAUUGUCUGACAGAUUUGGCCGGAAGCCUGUAUUUUUGACAGGUCUCCUUUUUGAUGUCAUCUUUGGUUAUAUUUCGGCAUUUGCUCCAAGUUAUAGAGUGUUUGCCUUGUCACGCCUUGGUGUUGGAGUGAUGAAUGGCGGAAUGUCAUUAGUGUCUUUCGUUUUGACCCAAGAAUAUGUGGGAAAAACAUUUUGGGCAUUAACAGGUUCAUUAACAAAUGUGACAUUCGCGGUGGGCAUAGCAUUCUACGCCAUACUGGGUUACUGCAUAAGGGAUUGGCGGACCUUGACACUUGUUUCAAAUUCUCCUGGAGUUUUGUUCUUCCUACUCUCACUUUUGCUUCCUGAAUCACCAAGAUGGCUGUAUUCCCAAGGGGACGUGGAAAAAGCAGAGGAGGUGCUGCAGUACAUAGCCCACGGUAAUGGAAAUGAAAGAUUGAGGAUAAAAUUGAAACCAUGUGUGGAAACUAUCAAAAUACAUGACUCAGCACCCGGUGUCCUAAACCUAGUGAAACAUCCAGUCCUCUGUUGGCGAACUGUCACCUUGAUGUAUAUCUGGUAUGUCUGCAGCCUUGUGUAUUAUGGUCUUACCCUGAAUGCUGGUGAGCUAAAAGGAAGCCUGUAUAUAAAUAUAGCUCUUUAUGGCCUUGUGGAAGUCCCAGCAUUCCCUCUCUGCAUAUUCUUUAUUGAGAAGUCCUGGGCAGGAAGACAAAAAACCACUGCCGUUUUUCUCAUUUUUGCUGGAUUUGCCUGCAUAUUUUCCACAUUUUUACCUGAACACUCAGAUUUUCUUGUCAGCCCCACAUGGUUAGCCUUGGGUGGAAAAUUGACUGUGAGUGCUGCCUUCAACAUUGUCUACAUUUAUACAUCUGAACUCUACCCUACAGUAAUAAGGAAUGCCGGCCUAGGUGUUUGUUCAAUGGCUUGCAGAUUUGGUGGGAUUUUGGCUCCUUUUAUACCGUCAAUGAAAUACUUUAACCCAAUGGUACCAUUUCUGGUGUUUGGAAUUAGUGGAUUAUCUGCCGGAGUUUUGGUUCUGUUUCUACCAGAAACUCUAAAUAAACCCAUUAUAGAGAACUUUGAAGACCUCUGACAACUGAGUACUUGAAAGAUAAGCUUGCACCCGGAGCCCCCCUCGCUUUGGGAGAGCACUGAUUCCUGUGUGGUUGAUUGAGAUGGAGCAUACCAUGGAAAAAUCACAACUUGAUCAAUCUUCUAUCAUUUGUGGGUUUGAUGCAUUUGGAAGUUUUUCUGAAAAGCAACAUAAAGUUUGGCUCAUCUUCUCUUAAGUGAUUCUUGAAGGCACGCUACUGUGUAUUCCUGGCAAACUCCUGCGUACUUCUGGGGAAACAGAAAGCUACUAAAAUUUGCUAUCUACCAACUCUAUGUGGCUUUGCUUCAAGAGCACAAGCUUGAGAGUAGAGGACGUGAGCUCUGAUCAUGGCUCUGCCAUUUGUCUGCUGUGUGACUUUGGGCAAGCCACUUAUCUUCUC